UGGGCGUCCUGCGGAAAACGUUGUCGCAGACGCCAUGGUUCAGAAACAAAGCUCGUAGGAUGUCGUACGCGAAUACCAGCAUCAGUCCCCGUUAUCUCUGCUUGCAUCCCAAUUUAUCCCUACCCCGAGUACAAGCCCCUUCCCACUCAAUUUCUGCCAAGACGCCCAUCUGAUGGCAGAAGUCCGUCUGUGUCGCCAAAUCACCUCCAGCAGACCUUGGUGUGAAAGGAGUGAAAUGCAAAGCAGUCACAACGAUUGAAA